CAGUCGCCACGUAAUACAGAGGGUGCAAGCGUUAAUCGGAAUUACUGGGCGUAAAGCGCGCGUAGGUGUUUUGUUAAGUUGGAUGUGAAAGCCCCGGGCUCAACCUGGGAACUGCAUCCAAAACUGGCAAGCUAGAGUACGGUAGAGGGUGGUGGAAUUUCCUGUGUAGCGGUGAAAUGCGUAGAUAUAGGAAGGAACACCAGUGGCGAAGGCGACCACCUGGACUGAUACUGACACUGAGGUGCGAAAGCGUGGGGAGCAAACAGGAUUAGAUACCCGCGUAGUCCCUGUCUCUUAUACA
rnacentral:rRNA from 1 species